rnacentral:lncRNA from 1 species
CAGCUAAUGAUUACAGUUUAAAGACAAUUUCUGUGAUCAAGUUGUCAUUUGGAAGAUUAAACCCAUUUCACGAGGACUUGGAGCCUGGUCCUUGCUUUGAGGAAGCAGUGGCUUGUUUCAAGAAGCCACUUCUGAUCUAAGAAUCUACCCAGCAUGCCUAAUCAAGGAGAAGACUGCUAUUUUUUUUUCUAUUCUACAUGUACCAAAGGUGACAGCUGCCCAUUCCGUCACUGUGAAGCUGCACUAGGCAAUGAAACUGUUUGCACAUUAUGGCAAGAAGGGCGCUGUUUUCGACGGGUGUGCAGGUUUCGGCACAUGGAGAUUGAUAAAAAACGCAGUGAAAUUCCUUGUUAUUGGGAAAAUCAGCCAACAGGAUGUCAAAAAUUAAACUGCGCUUUCCAUCACAAUAGAGGACGAUAUGUUGAUGGCCUUUUCCUACCUCCGAGCAAAAGUGUGUUGCCCACUGUGCCUGAGUCACCAGAAGAGGAAGUGAAGGCUAGCCAACUUUCAGUUCAGCAGAACAAAUUGUCUGUCCAGUCCAAUCCUUCCCCUCAGCUGCGGAGCGUUAUGAAAGUAGAAAGUUCCGAAAAUGUUCCUAGCCCCAAGCAUCCACCAGUUGUAAUUAAUGCUGCAGAUGAUGAUGAAGAUGAUGAUGAUCAGUUUUCUGAGGAAGGUGAUGAAACCAAAACACCUACCCUGCAACCAACUCCUGAAGUUCACAAUGGAUUACGAGUGACUUCUGUCCGGAAACCUGCAGUCAAUAUAAAGCAAGGUGAAUGUUUGCAUUUUGGAAUAAAAACUCUUGAGGAAAUUAAGUCAAAGAAAAUGAAGGAAAAAUCUGAGGAGCAAGGUGAGGGUUCUUCAGGAGUUUCCAGUCUUUUACUCCACCCUGAGCCUGUUCCAGGUCCUGAAAAAGAAAAUGUCAGGACUGUGGUGAGGACAGUAACUCUCUCCACCAAACAAGGAGAAGAACCCUUGGUUAGAUUGGGCCUUACUGAGACACUGGGGAAACGAAAAUUUUCGACAGGCGGUGACAGUGAUCCUCCAUUAAAGCGCAGCCUGGCACAGAGGCUAGGGAAGAAAGUUGAAGCUCCAGAAACUAACACUGACGAAACACCAAAGAAAGCUCAAGUUUCCAAGUCUCUUAAGGAGCGAUUAGGCAUGUCAGCUGAUCCAAAUAAUGAGGACGCAACAGAUAAAGUUAAUAAAGUUGGUGAGAUCCAU